UCAGACGAUGCGUCAUGCAUAUCAAUAAGCGGAGGAAAAGAAACUAACAAGGAUUCCCUUAGUAACGGCGAGUGAAGCGGGAAGAGCUCAAAUUUGAAAUCUUCAAGGUUUUACCUUGACGAAUUGUAGUUUAAAGAAGUGUUUUCUGUUGAAGUUUUGGUAAAAGUUCUUGGAAUAGGACAUCAUAGAGGGUGAGAAUCCCGUAUUUGACCAUUAUUUUCAGCUGUGUGAUACACUUUCAAAGAGUCGGAUUGUUUGGGAAUGCAGUCCAAAAUGGGUGGUAAAUUUCAUCUAAAGCUAAAUAUUGGCGAGAGACCGAUAGCGAACAAGUACCGUGAGGGAAAGAUGAAAAGAACUUUGAAAAGAGAGUUAAACAGUACGUGAAAUUGUCAAAAGGGAAGCGUUUGACACCAGUGUUGUUUUCUCGAAAAUCAAUUAAAAAGAGUUGGAUUUUGUGUUGUAUUGACCUUAACAGCUUGCUUCACUCUUUUCCUGCUUUUUUUAAUGCACUUUUCGUUUAACAAGUCAACAUCAGUUUCUUUUGUUGUAAAAGGGUCAUUGGAAGGUGGCCUUCCCUUCGGAGAAAGUGUUUAUAGCCUUUGAUCUCUGCAAUCGGAGAGACUGAGGUCUGCAGCGUAGAUCCUUCGGGGUUAGAUACAUUUGUGCUAAGCUACAGCUUUUCAUAGACAACUUGUUGACUAUGUUUAGUCUUGUAACUUACCCGCUUAUGCUAUUUUACCUACGCUUAGGAUGUUGAUAUGCAUGACUGAUAU
rnacentral:rRNA from 1 species